GACAGAGGGGGCAAGCGUUGCUCGGAAUUACUGGGCGUAAAGGGCGCGUAGGCGGGAUGGCAAGUCGGUCGUGAAAUCCCUCGGCUCAACUGAGGAUCGUCGAUCGAUACUGCCGUUCUUGAGGAUUGCAGAGGAGACUGGAAUUCCCGGUGUAGCGGUGAAAUGUGUAGAGAUCGGGAGGAACACCGGUGGCGAAGGCGGUUCUCUGGCAAUGUUCUGACGCUGAGGAGCGAAAGUGUGGGGAGCGAACAGG
rnacentral:rRNA from 1 species